rnacentral:rRNA from 1 species
AGUGAACGCUGGCGGUAGGCCUAGCACAUGCAAGUCGAACGGCAGCACAGUAAGAGCUUGCUCUUACGGGUGGCGAGUGGCGGACGGGUGAGGAAUACAUCGGAAUCUACUUUUUCGUGGGGGAUAACGUAGGGAAACUUACGCUAAUACCGCAUACGACCUACGGGUGAAAGCAGGGGAUCUUCGGACCUUGCGCGAUUGAAUGAGCCGAUGUCGGAUUAGCUAGUUGGCGGGGUAAAGGCCCACCAAGGCGACGAUCCGUAGCUGGUCUGAGAGGAUGAUCAGCCACACUGGAAAUGAGACACGGUCCAGACUCCUACGGGAGGCAGCAGUGGGGAAUAUUGGACAAUGGGCGGAAGCCUGAUCCAGCCAUACCGCGUGGGUGAAGAAGGCCUUCGGGUUGUAAAGCCCUUUUGUUGGGAAAGAAAAGCAGCAGGUUAAUACCCCGCUGUUCUGACGGUACCCAAAGAAUAAGCACCGGCUAACUUCGUG